GAUGAACGCUGGCGGCGUGCCUAAUACAUGCAAGUCGAGCGAACGGACGAGCAGCUUGCUUCUCUGAUGUUAGCGGCGGACGGGUGAGUAACACGUGGAUAACCUACCUAUAAAACUGGGAUAACUUCGGGAAACCGGAGCUAAUACCGGAUAAUAUUUUGAACCGCAUGGUUCAAAAGUGAAAGACGGUCUUGCUGUCACUUAUAGAUGGAUCCGCGCUGCAUUAGCUAGUUGGUAAGGUAACGGCUUACCAAGGCAACGAUGCAUAGCCGACCUGAGAGGGUGAUCGGCCACACGGGAACUGAGACACGGUCCAGACUCCUGCGGGAGGCAGCAGUAGGGAAUCUUCCGCAAUGGGCGAAAGCCUGACGGAGCAACGCCGCGUGAGUGAUGAAGGUCUUCGGAUCGUAAAACGCUGUUAUUAGGGAAGAACAUAUGUGUAAGUAACUGUGCACAUCUUGACGGUACCUAAUCAGAAAGCCACGGCUAACUACGUG
rnacentral:rRNA from 1 species